rnacentral:rRNA from 1 species
UAGGGAAUCUUCCACAAUGGACGCAAGUCUGAUGGAGCAACGCCGCGUGAGUGAAGAAGGUUUUCGGACCGUAAAGCUCCGUUGUUGGUGAAGAAGGAUAGAGGUAGUAACUGGCCUUUUAUUUGACGGUAAUCAACCAGAAAGUCACGGCUAACUACGUGCCAGCAGCCGCGGUAAUACGUAGGUGGCAAGCGUUGUCCGGAUUUAUUGGGCGUAAAGCGAGCGCAGGCGGAAGAAUAAGUCUGAUGUGAAAGCCCUCGGCUUAACCGAGGAAUUGCAUCGGAAACUGUUUUCUUGAGUGCAGAAGAGGAGAGUAGAACUCCAUGUGUAGCGGUGGAAUGCGUAGAUAUAUGGAAGAAUACCAGUGGCGAAGGCGGCUCUCUGGUCUGCAACUGACGCUGAGGCUCGAAAGCAUGGGUAGCGAACAGGAUUAGAUACCCUGGUAGUCCAUGCCGUAAACGAUGAGUGCUAAGUGUUGGGAGGCUUCCGCCUCUCAGUGCUGCAGCUAACGCAUUAAGCACUCCGCCUGGGGGAGUACGACCGCAAGGUUGAAAC